rnacentral:rRNA from 1 species
GACGAACGCUGGCGGCGUGGAUUAGGCAUGCAAGUCGAACGGUAUCAUCCUUUCGGGGGUGAGAGAGUGGCGAACUGGUGAGUAACACGUAGGUUAUCUACCCUCAAGACGGGGACAACCCAGGGAAACUUGGGCUAAUACCGGAUGUGAGCAACUUUUAGUUGUUUGAAAGGUGGCGUAAGCUGUCGCUUGGGGAUGAGCCUGCGUCCUAUUAGUUAGUUGGUGAGGUAACGGCUCACCUAGGCAAUGAUAGGUAGGCGGCCUUAACGGGUGGUCGCCCACACUGGGAUUGAGAUACGGCCCAGACUCCUACGGGAGGCAGCAGUCGAGAAUAGUCUACAAUGGUCGGAAGACUGAUAGUGCGACGCCGCGUGAACGAUGAAUCCCUUCGGGGUGUUAAAGUUCUUUUAUAUGUGAGCAGUGCUUCUUAUAUUAACAGUAUGGGGAGAGAGAUAUUAGCAUAUGAAUAAGCAACGGCUAACUCCGUGCCAGCAGCCGCGGUAACUCGU